UGCAGCUACGGCGUAGGCAGGCAGGAGAGCCACCAGGAGCGUGCUGGUGACGACGGUGGAAGACGUAUCUGUCCGAGGAUUUCGAGCUGGGGAUGGCCUUGCCACUUCCGUAACCUCGGCCGGCGGCUCAGUAGCUGAAGACUCUAAAUUGCCGGGAGUGAAUCAAGCACAACUUGACAGACUGCAGCGCCAGGCGCAUUCCUAUGCAGUUCCUUGGCCCAGCUCCGAAAGGAAGGUUGCGCCGGGAACGACUUCACUGCUGCCCUUCUUCAGCAGCACGGACCGCACCACAUGAACGAGGGCGGUGAUGUCAUGUGCCGCCCAUUCGCGUGGACCGAGCGCUUAGCGGUGCUGUUCGCGGACCAGCAGGUGUCAAAGGCUCCGGAUAUGUAUUUCAAGUCAAGGGCUCGAAAAUAUUUGCGAUCGCAGAAAAAUAAAGAGGCGGGUGGGGGGUUGAACUUUCUCGUUCUCCAGGACCAAGGACUCCAGGACUUCUCCAUAACAUGCUCCUUCUACGCAUGUAUCAC